UAGCUAGUUGGUGAGGUAAAGGCUUACCAAGGCGACGAUCUGUAGCGGGUCUGAGAGGAUGAUCCGCCACACUGGAACUGAGACACGGUCCAGACUCCUACGGGAGGCAGCAGUGGGGAAUUUUGGACAAUGGGGGCAACCCUGAUCCAGCCAUGCCGCGUGAGUGAAGAAGGCCUUCGGGUUGUAAAGCUCUUUCGGCCGGGAAGAAAUCGCAUGGGCCAAUACCCUGUGUGGAUGACGGUACCGGAAUAAGAAGCACCGGCUAACUACGUGCCAGCAGCCGCGGUAAUACGUAGGGUGCGAGCGUUAAUCGGAAUUACUGGGCGUAAAGCGUGCGCAGGCGGUUUUGUAAGACAGGCGUGAAAUCCCCGGGCUUAACCUGGGAACUGCGUUUGUGACUGCAAGGCUAGAGUACGGCAGAGGGGGGUGGAAUUCCACGUGUAGCAGUGAAAUGCGUAGAGAUGUGGAGGAACACCAAUGGCGAAGGCAGCCCCCUGGGUCGAUACUGACGCUCAUGCACGAAAGCGUGGGUAGCAAACAGGAUUAGAUACCCUGGUAGUCCACGCCCUAAACUAUGUCAACUAGGUGUUGGGUGGGUAAAACCAUUUAGUACCGUAGCUAACGCGUGAAGUUGACCGCCUGGGGAGUACGGCCGCAAGGUUAAAACUCAAAGGAAUUGACGGGGACCCGCACAAGCGGUGGAUGAUGUGGAUUAAUUCGAUGCAACGCGAAAAACCUUACCUACCCUUGACAUGCCAGGAACCUGCCAGAGAAGGCUUGGUGCCCGAAAGGGAGCCUGGACACAGGUGCUGCAUGGCUGUCGUCAGCUCGUGUCGUGAGAUGUUGGGUUAAGUCCCGCAACGAGCGCAACCCUUGUCGUUAAUUGCCAUCAUUUAGUUGGGCACUUUAACGAGACUGCCGGUGACAAACCGGAGGAAGGUGGGGAUGACGUCAAGUCCUCAUGGCCCUUAUGGGUAGGGCUUCACACGUCAUACAAUGGUCGGUACAAAGGGUUGCCAAGCCGCGAGGCGGAGCCAAUCCCAGAAAGCCGAUCGUAGUCCGGAUUGCAGGCUGCAACUCGCCUGCAUGAAGUCGGAAUCGCUAGUAAUCGUGGAUCAGCAUGUCACGGUGAAUACGUUCCCGGGUCUUGUACACACCGCCCGUCACACCAUGGGAGCGGGUUCCGCCAGAAGUAGGUAGCCUAACCGCAAGGGGGGCGCUUACCACGGCGGGGUUCGUGACUGGGGUGAAGUCGUAACAAGGUAGCCGUAGGGGAACCUGCGGCUG
rnacentral:rRNA from 1 species